rnacentral:rRNA from 1 species
AAGGAUCAUGCACACACA